UACGGGGGGGGGCAAGCGUUGUUCGGAAUUACUGGGCGUAAAGGGCGCGUAGGCGGUUUGCUAAGUUGAAUGUGAAAACUCUGGGCUUAACCCAGAGCCUGCAUUCAAUACUGGCAGGCUAGAGUUCUGGAGGGGAUAGCGGAAUUCCUGGUGUAGCGGUGAAAUGCGUAGAUAUCAGGAGGAACACCGGUGGCGAAGGCGGUUCUCUGGGCAUUACCUGACGCUGAGGAGCGAAAGUGUGGGGAGCGAACAGG
rnacentral:rRNA from 1 species